GUAGGUGGCAAGCGUUGUCCGGAAUUAUUGGGCGUAAAGCGCGCGCAGGCGGUUCUUUAGGUCUGAUGUGAAAGCCCACGGGCUCAACCGUGGAGGGUCAUUGGAAACUGGAGAACUUGAGUACAGAAGAGGAAAGCGGAAUUCCACGUGUAGCGGUGAAAUGCGUAGAGAUGUGGAGGAACACCAGUGGCGAAGGCGGCUUUCUGGUCUGUAACUGACGCUGAGGCGCGAAAGCGUGGGGAGCAAACAGGAUUAGAUACCCUGGUAGUCCACGCCGUAAACGAUGAGUGCUAAGUGUUAGGGGGUUUCCGCCCCUUAGUGCUGCAGCUAACGCAUUAAGCACUCCGCCUGGGGAGUACGGCCGCAAGGCUG
rnacentral:rRNA from 1 species